CGACCUGUUGCGGACAGAUGAAGUGAAUGUGCGCAUCGAUGCCGCCGGCCGUAAGAAUCUGCCCCUCGCCGGCGAUCGCCUCCGUACCCGGUCCAACAACGAUCGUGACAUCCGGCUGCGUAUCGGGGUUACCGGCUUUGCCGAUUGCGGCAAUACGACCAUCCUUGAUGCCCACGUCCGCUUUGACGAUGCCCCAAUAGUCCAGAAUCAACGCGUUUGUGAUGACAGUGUCGACCGUCUCGGCUGAGGGCCGCUGACUCUGGCCCAUACCGUCACG
rnacentral:sRNA from 1 species